rnacentral:rRNA from 1 species
UGCCAGCCGCCGCGGUAAUACGGAGGGGGCGAGCGUUAUUCGGAAUUACUGGGCGUAAAGGGUGCGUAGGCGGCCCAUCAAGUUAGACGUGAAAGCCCCGGGCUCAACCUGGGAAUUGCGUUUAAUACUGGUGAGCUAGAGUACGAGAGAGGAAAGUGGAAUUCCUAGUGUAGAGGUGAAAGUCGUAGAUAUUAGGAAGAACACCAGUGGCGAAGGCGACUUUCUGGCUCGUAACUGACGCUGAGCCACGAAAGCGUGGGGAGAAAACAGGAUUAGAUA